AGUUGGACAGGGGAUCAUGACAGUUUAAAAACACAUGCUGCCAGAUCUAUCUUUCCAGCUCA
rnacentral:pre_miRNA from 1 species